rnacentral:rRNA from 1 species
CUGACCGUAAACGAUGCCAACUAGCGACCAGCUGGUGGUAGUUUUGCCCCGGCUGGGAGCUUACCGGAAACGAAAGUCUUCGGGUUCCGGGGGUAGUAUGGUUGCAAAGCUGAAACUUAAAGGAAUUGACGGAAGGGCACCACCAGGAGUGGAGCCUGCGGCUUAAUUUGACUCAACACGGGAAAACUCACCCGGCCCGGACACCGCGAUGAUUGACAGAUUGACAGUUCUUUCUUGAUUCGGUGGUUGGUGGUGCAUGGCCGUUCUUAAUUGGUGGAGUGAUUUGUCUGCCUGAUCGCGAUAACCAACGAAACUCGGGCCUGCUAAUUAGCACAGACUUUCUCAGAGUUUUCGGUGCUUCUUAGAGGGAUCAGCGGUGUAGAGCCGCAUGAAAUCGAGCAAUAACAGGUCUGUGAUGCCCUUAGAUGUCCGGGGCUGCACGCGCGCUACACUGGAAGGUGCAGCGUGUGUAAUUUCUCAUCCUUGGCUGAAAGGCUUGUUGGUAAACACUGAAACCCUUUCGUGAUCGGGAUAGGGAAUUGAAAUUAUUUCCCUUCAACGAGGAAAUUCCCAGUAAGUGUGAGUCAUCAGCUCGCGUUG